rnacentral:sRNA from 1 species
GUGGUACCCAAACUAUUCGAUAGUGAUGCACUCCACAUGCACAUGUUGCCAUCAUAUAAAUCUUGGACUUUUGGCUUUUAUACAUAUUUUGCAUAAUGGGUGCUACUUUGGCGAGGAUGAUUACCCCGUCUUACUGUCGACGCGCAUUACCAGUGAAUCUAGUGAAGUGAUUUACAAUAGUUAAAAUGAUGGAUACCCAGCUUAUUAAAGGCGACCGAAAAUUUGUUUGCGAGCGGCCAGGUGAAGCAUACUGAGCUGUUUUGUUGGUUUUCGUACAGACGCUGCUUACUCGGACUUACUGGGUAAAGAAUUUUGCUGUGCCUAGGCAAACCAGGUUUGGUCGAGGAACACAGCGAUAAUGCGAUAUUGGUGCCAGUGGAUAGGACGCCCAACGAGGAACUACUCUUGCGCAAAAGGUAAAGCAGGCGCAACUAAUAAUUCAGGACGUACGCCAGAUGGUUCGCAUUGCGACAUGACCUGGAUGUGGUUUCCGCGUUCAGUAGAAGAAAUUGUAGUAGCUGUUUGGAAAUACAGAACGUUUGCGUAUUACGAGACCCAAGUGCCUGGAAAGCAGGAGGACAAAUACCUUUAACGUAGACUAGUGACACAUAAAGUUGCUCGCUGUGAUACGAGGUGGCAUUCGGAUAUAUUACUUAUAUGAUGUUGGAGCUUUUAAAACAAUGAUCUGGUGUUCGCAAUUCUAUUUUGGACCCUGAGGCAGACUGUUUGCUCUUUAUCUCCCGCCUGUGUAUAACCAAGUAACCUGAUAGUAUUGCCAACUCCUGGUGAGAUGGGGUCAUGGGCUGUGGACUUCGUCGGGUAUCCUGCUACUGCCAUGCCCUCCAGAUUGCUAGUAAUCACAUCUUGACUGCCAAUUUAAGGACUACAAGGACCUCUAAAAGUGACAAAGGACAUUUUUCCAGGAUCUUACUGUUAUUAAGCCAG